CAACUUUCAACAACGGAUCUCUUGGCUCUCGCAUCGAUGAAGAACGCAGCGAAAUGCGACAAGUAAUGUGAAUUGCAGAUUUUCAGUGAAUCAUCGAAUCUUUGAACGCACCUUGCGCUCCUUGGUAUUCCGAGGAGCAUGCCUGUUUGAGUGUCAUUAA
rnacentral:rRNA from 1 species